rnacentral:tRNA from 1 species
GGCGACGUAGCCAAGUGGUUAAGGCGGCGGUCUGCAAAACCGCUAUCCACCGGUUCGAAUCCGGUCGUCGCCUCCA